CCUUUGUGGGCAACACUGGGUGCUCCCAUGCCCGUAAAAAAAUUCAUUGACUCAAACUGCUUGCUGAAGUUUAGACUUUCAGUAACCUCUUCCCUCUGCAAGGGUGGGGGACCUAUUAAAAUGGUCCGCCCCCAGAGACUAAUGGAUCCUGAAGGUUUUCAAAGGGCUCUGGGGGAUUUUCCGGCUGAUAGGACUGGCGCUCCUGCUGAAGCCCUGGUCGCUCUGUGGAAUAAGGAGAUGACCCGGGCUGUAAACACGAUUGCUCCUGCACGCCCUCUCCUGUGUAGAGCUCAUACAGCUCCAUGGUAUACUCCGGAGCUGAGAGCGAUGAAGCAAGAUAGGAGGCGGCUUGAGUGCAGAUGGAGACGAACUCCCGACGGAUACAAUUAUACGCUGGAUCUAAUGGGAUGAAGGGUGCUCUAGAAAUAGUCAUCCAAAAAGGAAGAAUGCAAGUUUUACAGCUCAGCAAAUAUUUCUAAAAGAGGUCUUAUGAAGCAAACAUCCUGGACUUUGUUCACAAGCCACUACAGCAUGGAUAGAUAACCACCAGCACGACAAUAUCUCCAUCAAAAGCAGCUGUGUAAAUUGGAGGUCUGUUGAUGCUGGGGGCUGGUGUUGACGUUUGUGGACUGUUAUGGACCAGUUUUCAGGAUUAAUUGUCAAGCUGGUAUGAAAUCUUCUCAACCAAUGUCUGUCGUAACGAAUCGCCCCCGUGCAGAAAUUUGCUCUAAACUUGCACUACAUUCCACUAGAAUUCCGGAGCUAGCCUGUACAUCGCACGAAAGAGCAAAUAUAAUGCGCAAAUUACUAGGUAAGAAAUCCUCAGAAUAAUGGAAUAAAGUGCAGUGUGAAAGCAGCCUUAAUUACUUAUCGCCUAUGUGUCCUGUUCUUCCCCCCAAGGAGCUGUGGUUAUAUUGUGGUUAUAUAUCCUUUUUUAAAAAUCCUCCCAACAAUCCUGUGAUGUUGGUUAAUCUGAGAUAGACUGGUCGGCCUGAGGAGACUCUGAGUGGGGAUUUGGAAAUGGAAAGAACAGACAGAACCAGUAACAAAAGCAAAGGGAAAGGAGGCCUCAGAGGUACACUGAGGAAGUGUGGAAGGCUAUUACUGUUAGGGGUGGCUCAAGAGGGUGUGUGGAGGCAGUAGCAUCCUCUCAGUGCUGACAGUGCUGCCCUUGUCAGGACGGGAGAUAUGGGUGGUGGUGGUGGUAGUGAGGUUGGGGGUACUCCAGGUAGGUGGCACAUCUGCAGAGACCCUGAUGCCAAUCCAGAGUUCCUCUGAGUGCACUGCCAUCCCGUCUCCCCUCCCUCUCUUCCGUCCCAAUGAGCACUGUCAUUAACCUGUUUUAUAUGUUUUUUGUAUGUUCUUAAUGUUUUAAAUGUUUUUAAUUGUUUUAAAUACAUCAUGAGAAGACAUGACUCGCUAGAAAAGACAAUAAUGCUGGGAAAAACAGAAGGGAGUAGAAAAAGAGGAAGGCCAAACAAGAGAUGGAUUGAUUCCAUAAAGGAAGCCACAGACCUGAACUUACAGGGUGACUCAUGACAGAUCCUCUUGGAGGUCGCUGAUUCAUAGGGUCACCAUAAGUCGUAAUCAACUUGAAGGCACAUAGCAACAACAAUUGUUUUAAAUAUGUUUUUAAUAGAAUUGCUUUACCACUUUGCUCUUGGCUGCCUCAGACUUCUGUGGGAAUAAUAACAAUAUCAACAACAGCGAUAAUAAUUGCAUUUUAAUGCACUCACGUCUCUCGCAUAUGUAUUUCUGUACAUUACUUGGCUGGAGAAUUGCGCUGCAAAAUCCAAAGGAGUGCAAAUUUAGAACGAUGACUGUGUCUCCAUUUGUGUAUUGUUUCGGCAAGCACAACUCAGGAAGGGUUUGCCUCUAAAGGUGAACUCUACCAUAUUUCUCCCCCAUCCCUAGGCAUGGAGAGGGUUUUUUUUUUUGGUCAAGGGAGCAACAAGCAAGGGACAUAUUUCUACAAUGUGGUAGGGAGACAUGAUACGACUGGACAGUGGUCUGAAUAUGAGAAACAAAGGAGAGAGAGAGAGGAGUCAGAGAUAAAGCCAAGGCUAUGGGCCUGUUCAACUGGGCGGAUGGUAACAUCAUCAAUGGAUAAGGAAUUUCCCUUGUGUGAAAAUCCUCCUCCUCCCCCACCCCAAUUUAGAAAACAAGGUUACAUCUGUGCAAUCUGCUCUGUCAGGAGGCACCUCUUUAUUCUCUGAGCAAAUGACAUGUGCGCUAAUGCUGGGUGUUAGCAGAGUCCUUUCCUUCCUUUCUUCUUUAAAAGGCAUCACCCCACCUGGCCUAAUUAAGACCACAGAGCUUGCCCUCCGCCUUGCCCAACAACUGCUGGGUAGUGAAAGAUUUCCAGGGAAUUGGCAGAUACCUGAUACACGGCUGAGCAGUCCCGUUCAAAGGCUAUAUUUGAUCCGCACUUUCUCUUUUCUUUCCUGCUACAGGCCCACCUGUUCACUGCCGCUCUUUCCACCAGGUUCAUCCUCCCGAAAAGAAUCUUAUUAAUCUUGCAAGGGAGUUCAGGUUACGCGGGAGCUAUGUGUGGCAAAAGUCGGGUCUCUCUCCUUGGCUGAAGACGGCGGCCUGGGAUUGUUUGGUUAAGGUUUGAAGUCUCCAGACUAGAUUUGUCGGGAUGAGACAGUAGCAGAUGAGAGGGGGAAAGAAAGCAACAGGGGUUGGGAACAGAGAUAAAUAUUUGUGCGUUUGUGUGUGUGUGUGUGUGAGAGAGAGAGUAUACAUGACAGAGAAAAUAGUCCAUCAUUUCUGCUCCUAGCCUUGUGGAUAAUUGGAAGGCCAGGAGGAUAUUACCCUCCGAUAAUUUUCUGCUUCCCUGCACUGCUACGAGCAGGCAGAGCUUGGAAAAGUUACUUUUUUGAACUACAACUCCCAUCAGUCCAAUCCAGUGGCCAUGCUGGCUGGGGCUGAUGGGAGAUGUAGUUCAAAAAAAGUAACUUUUCCAAGCUCUGCAUGCAGGACCUAUUUUACAAUAUACAUUGAAAGCACUAUUAUACCACAUUAAAGAGUCAUGGCUGCCCCCAAACAAUCCUGGGAACUGUCAUUUGUUAAGAGUGCUAAGAGCUGGAGUUACAGUUCUCUGAGUUCCCUGGGAACACAGAUUGACCGAUAAGCCACUCUGGCAAUUUUGGUCUGAAGACACAUGAAGUUACUGUGACAGUGAUGCAAGUUUUGCCACACACUCAGCCUGGAAGGCAGAUAGCCCGAGAGGUGAAUGUGUGAUAUGAUGAACAAUUUGUACCCCAUGUGCGCUAUACAUUUAAAGCAGUAUCAUACCACUUUAAACAGUCAUGGUUUCCCCCCAAAGAAUCCUGGGAACUGUUGUUUGUUAAGGGUACUGAGAGUUGUUGGGACACCCCGAUUCUCCUCUCCAGGGUUUCAGGCAGGGGACAUUUCCAGCCCUACCUGAAGAUUCUGGGGAUCGAACCUGGGGUCUUCUGCAUCACCUUCCCUUAUUGGGUUCCAUUGGUGAACUGCUCUUACCAUCAAGACAUUUCUUCUUAUCUUCAUCUGAAAUCUGCCUCCUGUAUUUUAAGCCCAUUAGAUUUUAUUUAUUUAUUUAUUUAUUUAUUGCAUUUGUAUACCGCCCCAUAGCCGAAGCUCUCUGAGCGGUUUACAACAAUUGAAAACAUUAAAAACAAGCAUACAAAUUUAAAAGCACAUUUUUAAAAAGCAAUUUAAAAACACAUGCUAAAAUGCCUGGGAGAAGAGGAAAGUCUUGACCUGGCCCCGAAAAGGUAACAGUGUUGGCACCAGGCGCACCUCGUCAAGGAAAUCACUCCAUAAGUUGGGGGCCACCACUGAGAAGGCCCUCUCCCUUGUUGCCAUCCUACGAGCUUCCCUUGGAGUAGGCACCCGGAGGAGGGCUUUUGAUGUUGAGUGUAGUGUACAGGUGGGUUCGUGUCAGGAGAGGCGUUCCAUCAGGUAUUGAUGCAGUCCGGCCCCUUUGGGGCUGCAGAGAGUAAGCUUUUGCUCCUCUACGGUCCUUGAGGAAGGACCGUUGCUCAGUCCUUGUUCAGCCCCUGGUGUCUCCACAUGGGGCUGGGGAAGAUGCUUGGGUGAAACCCUGGAAAGCUGCUGCCAGUCAGAGUAGACAACGCUGAGGCCGAUUGUCCAAUGGUCUGACUCAGUACAAGGCAGAUUCCCAUGUUCCUAUGUGACAUCCUUUGGAUAUUUGAAGAGUGUUAUCAGGUGUCCCCCCUUCAGACGAAACAUACCAGUUCCUUCAACUUUUUGCUGCUAAGAAUGGAGUGACACUUUUCUCCAGCAAACAUGUGCGUUCUCAGACAUUUGUUUUGUUUAUACCAGGGUGGCCAUUUGCAGGGGACUCAGUGGGAGGGAAGAGGACAGUUCACCUUUCCCAUACCAGCAGGUUCUCACCCUCAAAUCCGCUAGGCUGACGUCUGCUUUCAAAGUCUGGCUGGCAUAAGAACAAGCUUAAAAACAACCAGAGGACCUUUGUGGGAGAGAAUUGACAGGUGUGGGAAAGAUUAAGCAAGCUCUCCUCCUGCCUCCUGCCUUUCCCUUGGAAACACACAGUUAGGAACCCUUGAUUUUUGUGCUCGUAAAUGGCAUGGCAAGUUUGUCCUAGUUAGGUUCUACACUUGCCAAAAGUCAUCUAAUUGUAUCUUGCAGCACACCAAGCAGGAGUGAGCACCUGCUUUGGAGGAAGCCCAAGUCCUAAUCCAAAGCAGGCCACUUUAGAGGUAUGUGGGCCUCCUCUGCAGAAAACCUAGUCUUGUCCAAAGGGAAGCAGGCUGCUCCUGAAGCUUCAGACAGUCUAUGAAAAACUGUUUUUACAGGGUAUUUUUACAAUUUUUUUGACCCACUGAUGUGUUUCUGGGCCUCUCCCAAGCUCUCCAUAAAAGGAAAAUAGCAGGCACGAGGGGCGGUAGGAGAUGGGGACAUAGCUUUAUGACUGACAGCUGCAGCUUCCAAUGGUGGAAUGUCUUAACCUGAGCUUUCCAUUCACAAUGCUUUGGGGGGGACGGACAUUGAAGUAACAUAUCAGAACUGGUUCCAUGUUUUCAGUGCUUCAUCCUCUCCUAGGAGCAUCAGUGUUGAAAGAGUUAGAGAGCUGUUGGUUUUGCUUGCUUGAUCUUUUUAUUCCAAUCCAGAUCAAUCAUUUCCUAAAAUCCAAUCUCUUACAUCCUAUUUAGGGAUGGAAAGAUCUUUUAAUUUUACUCCUCUCGGUUUCUAAA